UUCGAGCUAAGCUACAGGAGUAUGCCACCAGAUUUGAGGCUAUGCUUUGCUUAUUAUUGUGCAGUCUUCCCAACUGGCCACAACAUAGUCAAAGAUGACCUGGUUCAUCAAUGGAUUGCUCUGCACCUCAUUGAGCCAUCUGAAACAUUGUCUGCCGCACAGAUAGCAGAGGAGCAUAUUACCAGGCUUCAGAACAUGUCAUUCCUUCAAACUGCAGAGCUGGACCACGUGAGUAAUUGUCUACUACUCUAUUGUACAAAAUCUGCUGACUUAUAAAGACAGAAAACUGAAGUAAAAUUUGAGUGAAUUGUAUCAUACUUGUUCCUACUGGAUGGAUUACUAAUGUGUGGAUAUAGUAGUAGGUAUGCCCGAGGGACAUGAUAUAGUGAAGCGAAAGAACAACAUACAUCUAGGAAACUAAGACAUAUAUAGGCUACUUACUAAUUUUUAAUUGGAAGAAGAGGAUCCAAUCGGCUGUCCGAUCACGCGCUGGAAUCGGCCGCCUUGGUCGAGCAACACGUGCCGCCCAAGUUGCUGGCUCCCUUCGACAUUAUCCUUUCCUGAGCCACCCCUCCACAAAGGGCCUCUUUGAUUCAAAUAAUUUCUAAAAUAAUUUUGUAGAAUUCUAAUCUUUGNNNNNNNNNNCACUUGCCCCCUCUCGCUCGCCUCUGCGCCUCCCCUCCCCCAGAUCCACCUCUCCCCUCUCCUCCCGCUCGAUCUCGAGCGCGCCCAUCGCCAUGGCCCCAUCCUUGUCACGGCCACCGUCGCCACCUCGCCUCGUCCCCGUGACAGAUCGGUUCUCCGGCCCUCGCUACAUCCUCCCCGACCACCUGCUCGAGCCGGGACCCCCUGCAUCACCCCCCAACGCCGUCGCCUUCUUCCUUGGGUCGCCGCCAUCUUCUUCGACUCCGGCGACUGCUGCUGCUACUAAGCCUCUCACGGGCCUUUCUUGGCCGCACGGUGAGCUCCUCCCUUCCUCCCUUCCUCUCCUCCCGUCGUGCUUUUUGCCGUAGCUAGCUCGCCCGCAAGCCGAGCUCCGCCGUCUGCCAUUGUCGUCAUAGGGCUCGCCUCCGAGCUCCUCCGCUCGAGCCAGUAGCUCCGACGAGCUCCUGGAGCGCCAUAGACCUCGCCUAGCCCUUUACUUCGCUCGCACACGCUCUGUAGCGCCGAUCCUGAACUCCGGCCGAACGCGCCGCCCGCCACUGUCGAUGUAGCGCUCCAUUCCGGUCGAGUUAGCCCACGGGACCGCCGUAGAUCGAUGCGGCGUCGGACGCCCGGUCGAACGCGCCUAACCGCAUCUCUCCCCGUGCCCUGUAGCUUUUUUUCGGCGAAGUCCGGCGAUGCUCCGCCGCGGAAAUGGUCGCCGGCGCGUCUCCGGUGCCGCCCGCCGACGUGGCCCAUCAGGCCCCACCUCACAGCCACUGACCGCGGGCCCCAUGGGCCCCAGAUGACUGGGUUGACCCAGUCAACUGCUGACUGGGCACCAGUGGGCCACUGACGUGUGGGUCCCGCGCGUAAUUAAUCUAAUUUGAAGUUAAAACUUUAAUUAGUAAAUAGAUUAGUCUAAUGUAUCACUGACAUAUUGGGCCCACACCCCUUAUUAGUUUAGUUAGAUUAGUUAAUUCGCUGUUAUAGCCACUCUCACUGACCAGUGGGUCCCGCUGGACCCACAGGUCAGGUUUGACCUGGUCAGCCGACCAGCUGGCUGCUGACGUCAUCCUCUAGUCAUGCUGACGUCAUAAUUCCAAUUCUGUUAAUUUAGAUAAUUCCAAAAUAUGUUUUAAUCUUUGAAAAUUCGUAGAAAAUAAACCGUAGCUCGGAUGAAAAAGUUUUAUACAUGAAAGUUGCUCAGAACGACAAGGCAAAUUGGAAUGCGUGGUCCGUUUACCUGUCACAUGCCUCUAUCUGUCUGAACAUGGAACAUUUCCCCUCCGGUCAUCUGUCUCACACAGGUCCGGAACCGGGAAAGCAUUUCCGGUUGAAUUCCCCCUUCACCUAUAUCGUGUAACCCUGUGUUAGAACACCUCUAGCAUCGCUUAUUGUCAUGUUAUGCAUAUGUUUGCGUGUAUUUACUGUUUCUUCCCCUCUUCUCUCCGGUAGACCCCGGGACCGCUGCUGAUGCCCCUACGAUCGACUACGUCGACGACGACCCUCCUUCUCGCCUGAGCAACCAGGCAAGCCCCCCCUUUGAUCAUCUUGAUAUCGCCCAUUCCAUUCUCUCAUGCUUGCAUUAGAUUUUGCUAUUGUUAUUGAUUGUUCCUAUUCUGAUGCAUAGCCUGCUUUUGUAACCUGCUCAUUGUACCUUACCUGCUUAUCCUAAACUGCUUAGUAUAGGUUGGUUAGUGAUCCAUUAGUGACCCCCACCUUGUCCUUGUUGCCCCUGCUUCAUCUUCGACGACUCGAUCAACGUGAUCGAUGACCAGAGCCUGACACCUCACAUCACAUCACGCCCCUUUAGUUGCUCGACUCUGCAGAGCUACUAUCGAGUGCUGAGGGUGAUCCCUCAUAAUGCACUCCUGAUGAUAAUUCUGUAGUGUAGCUAUUCGGGCGUGGUCAUCGAGGGUGAUUUCCUCUUUCACCAUUCCUGAUACGGCUCUGUCGUUCAACACCUCAAGUGUGAACCUCGAGGGUGGUCCCUCUUAAAUUCACCUUGAUGAUUACAUUGAGUGGAAUCCACCGGGGGUGAUUCCCCGGGUUUUCCCCUUGAUGUCUGGACACACGGUUACCUUGACUUUACUUGAGACCAUUGUUGAAGUCGGGUCGGCCCUGAGGGGUACCCGCGAGUUGAUGUGAAAAUCGGGCGGGCCCGUAGAGCACCCGCGAGUUUUCCACGUGGCACGGCCGGGCAGUCUGGGCCCUUGCCGUAAGUCCAUGAGACGGGGCGACGGGGUCACAUUAUCGUGAGUCUCUGCUCGUCUCCGCGAGCCCCCAAUGCACUAACAGGUUUGGGUAUUUGUUCNNNNNNNNNNUCCGCGGUAAUGGAUGUUCAGACUUAUAUCCUGAUCUUAUAUAACUAGAAACGGAUACUUGAGAUAUGUGAUGGAUAUGUGGCUCCGAGAUUGCUUUCCCGCAGGGAGUCGAGGAAGGAUCUCUGGGCGUUGAUGUUACAACAUGCUUGUUAAAUAUUAAAAUGUUACUCUUUACUCUUCUACAUGCUGCAAGAUGCUUGGAGCUGCUUGAAGAUGCUAGUCUUCGAUAGGCUAGGCCUUCCCCCUCUAUUCUGGCAUUCUGCAGUUCAGUCCACAGAUACAAACCUUCCUUUUGAUACCAAUGCAUACUUAGUAUACAUCUGAUGCUUGCGAGUACUUUGGAUGAGUACUCACGGUUGCUUUGCUACCCCUUUUCCCCCUUCUUUCUUCUUUCCGGUUGAUGCAACCAAAUGAUGGAUCCCUGGAGCCAGAUGCCACCGUCGAUGGAUACUACUGUAUGGAGACCGCCGACGACCAGGAGUAGUUAGGAGGUCCCAGGCAGGAGGCCUUGCCUCUUCGAUCGUUGAUGUUUGUGCUAGCCUUCUUAAGGCAUCCUUGUUUAACUAAUGUCUGUACUCAGAUAUUGUUGCUUCCGCUACUGCUUGUGUAUCGAGCUAUGUAUUCGAGCCUUCGAGGCCCCUGGCUUGUAAUAUAAAGCUUGUAUUAUUUCUAUUUGUGUCUAGAGUUGUGUUGUGAUAUCUUCCCGUGAGUCCCUGAUCUUGAUCAUACACAUUUGCGUGUAUGAUUAGUGUACGAUUGAAUCGGGGGCGUCACAGGUGAGGAUAGGUCAUUGUUGUAGUUUGUCGAUCGCUUUGAGUUUUUCUCUCUCGCGCUUAGGCAUAGUUUGGUCUUGUAUUACUUUGCUAUUUGCCGACUUGUUUUUUGGUGUUUGUGUGUGCGUAUGUUGUUUAUUGUGUGCAUUCUAACUAUGUAGAGUCAGAUGUGUUGAGUAUUGUGUCUAUAGCUACUUGACGCUUCAUUUGGAGUCAGUAAAUUCACCCUUUGUGAAAGGAAAAAACCCUGAUAUUUCCCGAGUGUGGUUAUCCCUUGCAAGAUUCGAGCUAAGCUACAGGAGUAUGCCACCAGAUUUGAGGCUAUGCUUUGCUUAUUAUUGUGCAGUCUUCCCAACUGGCCACAACAUAGUCAAAGAUGACCUGGUUCAUCAAUGGAUUGCUCUGCACCUCAUUGAGCCAUCUGAAACAUUGUCUGCCGCACAGAUAGCAGAGGAGCAUAUUACCAGGCUUCAGAACAUGUCAUUCCUUCAAACUGCAGAGCUGGACCACGUGAGUAAUUGUCUACUACUCUAUUGUACAAAAUCUGCUGACUUAUAAAGACAGAAAACUGAAGUAAAAUUUGAGUGAAUUGUAUCAUACUUGUUCCUACUGGAUGGAUUACUAAUGUGUGGAUAUAGUAGUAGGUAUGCCCGAGGGACAUGAUAUAGUGAAGCGAAAGAACAACAUACAUCUAGGAAACUAAGACAUAUAUAGGCUACUUACUAAUUUUUAAUUGGAAGAAGAGGAUCCAAUCGGCUGUCCGAUCACGCGCUGGAAUCGGCCGCCUUGGUCGAGCAACACGUGCCGCCCAAGUUGCUGGCUCCCUUCGACAUUAUCCUUUCCUGAGCCACCCCUCCACAAAGGGCCUCUUUGAUUCAAAUAAUUUCUAAAAUAAUUUUGUAGAAUUCUAAUCUUUGAACAACAUGGAAGCUUCUUGUUAUGAUAAUAGCCCCCUUGCGAUAAGUUCAUCUUGUAUCCAUGUUUGGUCCUUUGCAAUCGUGGUUCUGACCAUAUUGUUCUUGUUUGAUCCAUUUAUCGAACAAGUUAAAGUACUUGUCUUCUUCAGAUCGUUUCACCUGUUCAACCUCUACAUUGCUAUACCCUCGAGUAUUACCCUCUGGUAUCUCGAGAAUAUCAUGGAACUACAUAACUUCUUAUGAGUUUUUCAUCAACUAUUAUUCUCGUCGAUUCAAAUUUUCCACGGGUUCUGAGUUGUUAGACACUCGAGAACACCGAUAACCGAUUCAAGUCUCCAUUGUUUUGUUUAACCUUUCUUGUAACCUAACAUAUCUGAGCAGUGACAAUUCCCUGCUUAUGUAAACACCUCGGUGUACAAACUCUGUCAAUAAGACCAUGUUACUAUUGUGGGUGACAUUCCGGUAGCCACCGAUGGAGGAGAACUUUGCCUAUUGGUCCGCCUCGUCUUAACGAGCAGGAGAAUGGUUCUCUUCGUCCCUCGCCCUUGGUACCGAUGUUGUUGCCGACAUAACUGACAGGUUAUAGUCUGACAUGCCUUGCUAUCAAGAUCGUGCAAGAUGACAUAACCCUUCCUAGUUUUUGAUCCACGUGGUGGGCCCAUAACCCACAGUUUCACAGGAUCGAAACCUGACUCUCCUGUACAUCCCUGUUUUCCAAAAUUGUUCCUCGCACUUAGCUUCGUAUGUACAUCAUGAGCCACCCACCUAGUGAUCUACUCUGGUAUCAGAUGCAAUACUUAUUCCCAUUGCUCCUCCUUACCUUGCUCUCGAUGACUUUCUUGAAUUUCAACUCGAGAGAUGCCUCUAUGCCAUGUUCACCGAGAUAGCCCCAGGUACCUAUCUUGUGUUCAGCUCCGUCCUUCCCGAGUCUUUCCCCCUUACUCCACCCCUUAAAUCUCGGGACGAGAUUUCUUGUAGUGGAGGAGAAUUGUGACGCCCGAAUAAUUAAGCAACAGUAAUCCUCUGUAAUGAUGCCACGUCACCAUGAUUACUGUUGAUAAACUCGCGUGGUUCGAAAUUGGUUCAAUUUUCAAAUUCAAAUUAAAGUCCAAAACUAAAAUUUUCAAACAUGAAAGCUAAAAUGUUCAAAGUGUGUCAAAUAAUCUCUGGUUAUUUGUCAUGUUGAAACCUAUAUUUUAAAAUGUGUUUUUAAUGCCCUAAAAUAAAUAAAACAGGGGCUAAAACUAGUAUUAAAUCCUUUUAAUUAUUAAACAAAUGCAAACUACUUUUUUUAUGUGCCAAAUUAUAUGUGGCAGUAGCCUAUUUUAUAAUAUUAUUUUAGNNNNNNNNNNNNNNNNNNNNNNNNNNNNNNNNNNNNNNNNNNNNNNNNNNNNNNNNNNNNNNNNNNNNNNNNNNNNNNNNNNNNNNNNNNNNNNNNNNNNNNNNNNNNNNNNNNNNNNNNNNNNNNNNNNNNNNNNNNNNNNNNNNNNNNNNNNNNNNNNNNNNNNNNNNNNNNNNNNNNNNNNNNNNUGCAAGUCUUCUAUUUUAUAUAACUAGUUCUGUUUUAAAAAGUUUAGGAAAACAGGAAAGCUUAAAAAAACAAAUAGAAAAGGCCCCUGCCCCCUGGGCCUAACCCCCCGGGCUAAGCCCCACAAGCUAGCCGGCCCAGCCCACUCCUCCCCCUGUCGUCUUCCCCCGCCCUGUUCGACCGACCGAGCACCCGCGCCCAUCGGCCGCAGCCCGACCACCUCGCCGUCGCCGCCGCCGAGGCGAUAAGAUCGCCACCCCCACCGACGCCUCGAACCCUUCCCCCACUCGCCCACUUGCCCCCUCUCGCUCGCCUCUGCGCCUCCCCUCCCCCAGAUCCACCUCUCCCCUCUCCUCCCGCUCGAUCUCGAGCGCGCCCAUCGCCAUGGCCCCAUCCUUGUCACGGCCACCGUCGCCACCUCGCCUCGUCCCCGUGACAGAUCGGUUCUCCGGCCCUCGCUACAUCCUCCCCGACCACCUGCUCGAGCCGGGACCCCCUGCAUCACCCCCCAACGCCGUCGCCUUCUUCCUUGGGUCGCCGCCAUCUUCUUCGACUCCGGCGACUGCUGCUGCUACUAAGCCUCUCACGGGCCUUUCUUGGCCGCACGGUGAGCUCCUCCCUUCCUCCCUUCCUCUCCUCCCGUCGUGCUUUUUGCCGUAGCUAGCUCGCCCGCAAGCCGAGCUCCGCCGUCUGCCAUUGUCGUCAUAGGGCUCGCCUCCGAGCUCCUCCGCUCGAGCCAGUAGCUCCGACGAGCUCCUGGAGCGCCAUAGACCUCGCCUAGCCCUUUACUUCGCUCGCACACGCUCUGUAGCGCCGAUCCUGAACUCCGGCCGAACGCGCCGCCCGCCACUGUCGAUGUAGCGCUCCAUUCCGGUCGAGUUAGCCCACGGGACCGCCGUAGAUCGAUGCGGCGUCGGACGCCCGGUCGAACGCGCCUAACCGCAUCUCUCCCCGUGCCCUGUAGCUUUUUUUCGGCGAAGUCCGGCGAUGCUCCGCCGCGGAAAUGGUCGCCGGCGCGUCUCCGGUGCCGCCCGCCGACGUGGCCCAUCAGGCCCCACCUCACAGCCACUGACCGCGGGCCCCAUGGGCCCCAGAUGACUGGGUUGACCCAGUCAACUGCUGACUGGGCACCAGUGGGCCACUGACGUGUGGGUCCCGCGCGUAAUUAAUCUAAUUUGAAGUUAAAACUUUAAUUAGUAAAUAGAUUAGUCUAAUGUAUCACUGACAUAUUGGGCCCACACCCCUUAUUAGUUUAGUUAGAUUAGUUAAUUCGCUGUUAUAGCCACUCUCACUGACCAGUGGGUCCCGCUGGACCCACAGGUCAGGUUUGACCUGGUCAGCCGACCAGCUGGCUGCUGACGUCAUCCUCUAGUCAUGCUGACGUCAUAAUUCCAAUUCUGUUAAUUUAGAUAAUUCCAAAAUAUGUUUUAAUCUUUGAAAAUUCGUAGAAAAUAAACCGUAGCUCGGAUGAAAAAGUUUUAUACAUGAAAGUUGCUCAGAACGACAAGGCAAAUUGGAAUGCGUGGUCCGUUUACCUGUCACAUGCCUCUAUCUGUCUGAACAUGGAACAUUUCCCCUCCGGUCAUCUGUCUCACACAGGUCCGGAACCGGGAAAGCAUUUCCGGUUGAAUUCCCCCUUCACCUAUAUCGUGUAACCCUGUGUUAGAACACCUCUAGCAUCGCUUAUUGUCAUGUUAUGCAUAUGUUUGCGUGUAUUUACUGUUUCUUCCCCUCUUCUCUCCGGUAGACCCCGGGACCGCUGCUGAUGCCCCUACGAUCGACUACGUCGACGACGACCCUCCUUCUCGCCUGAGCAACCAGGCAAGCCCCCCCUUUGAUCAUCUUGAUAUCGCCCAUUCCAUUCUCUCAUGCUUGCAUUAGAUUUUGCUAUUGUUAUUGAUUGUUCCUAUUCUGAUGCAUAGCCUGCUUUUGUAACCUGCUCAUUGUACCUUACCUGCUUAUCCUAAACUGCUUAGUAUAGGUUGGUUAGUGAUCCAUUAGUGACCCCCACCUUGUCCUUGUUGCCCCUGCUUCAUCUUCGACGACUCGAUCAACGUGAUCGAUGACCAGAGCCUGACACCUCACAUCACAUCACGCCCCUUUAGUUGCUCGACUCUGCAGAGCUACUAUCGAGUGCUGAGGGUGAUCCCUCAUAAUGCACUCCUGAUGAUAAUUCUGUAGUGUAGCUAUUCGGGCGUGGUCAUCGAGGGUGAUUUCCUCUUUCACCAUUCCUGAUACGGCUCUGUCGUUCAACACCUCAAGUGUGAACCUCGAGGGUGGUCCCUCUUAAAUUCACCUUGAUGAUUACAUUGAGUGGAAUCCACCGGGGGUGAUUCCCCGGGUUUUCCCCUUGAUGUCUGGACACACGGUUACCUUGACUUUACUUGAGACCAUUGUUGAAGUCGGGUCGGCCCUGAGGGGUACCCGCGAGUUGAUGUGAAAAUCGGGCGGGCCCGUAGAGCACCCGCGAGUUUUCCACGUGGCACGGCCGGGCAGUCUGGGCCCUUGCCGUAAGUCCAUGAGACGGGGCGACGGGGUCACAUUAUCGUGAGUCUCUGCUCGUCUCCGCGAGCCCCCAAUGCACUAACAGGUUUGGGUAUUUGUUCUGAGUUGGCCUCUGGCCUUUACGCACUAACCACCACGCGAGAAUAGAUAUGGGCCUCGACGUCGCAGUAUCAGCCGAAGCUUUGUCAGACGUCCAGUUCAGCAAUGCGGCAUGGUCGGAUCGUGCUGGCCAUCCGAGGCGGUACUGGUAUUCACCCUGCGCGCAAUGACCCGGAGUGCUGCGGGCGAUGGGCCCAAGACCCCGGAGCGCUUAGGAUGUAGACCGGCGGGGACCUCUCUGCUGAGCCUAGGUAGGGUUGCGACGUGUUGAUCUUCCGAGGCCGGGCAUUGACCCCAGAAAGGUGUGUCCGGCCAGAGUGAUCGAGCGUGUUGGGUAACGUGGUGCACCCCUGCAGGGAAGAUAUAUAUUUGAAUACCGUGUCCGCGGUAAUGGAUGUUCAGACUUAUAUCCUGAUCUUAUAUAACUAGAAACGGAUACUUGAGAUAUGUGAUGGAUAUGUGGCUCCGAGAUUGCUUUCCCGCAGGGAGUCGAGGAAGGAUCUCUGGGCGUUGAUGUUACAACAUGCUUGUUAAAUAUUAAAAUGUUACUCUUUACUCUUCUACAUGCUGCAAGAUGCUUGGAGCUGCUUGAAGAUGCUAGUCUUCGAUAGGCUAGGCCUUCCCCCUCUAUUCUGGCAUUCUGCAGUUCAGUCCACAGAUACAAACCUUCCUUUUGAUACCAAUGCAUACUUAGUAUACAUCUGAUGCUUGCGAGUACUUUGGAUGAGUACUCACGGUUGCUUUGCUACCCCUUUUCCCCCUUCUUUCUUCUUUCCGGUUGAUGCAACCAAAUGAUGGAUCCCUGGAGCCAGAUGCCACCGUCGAUGGAUACUACUGUAUGGAGACCGCCGACGACCAGGAGUAGUUAGGAGGUCCCAGGCAGGAGGCCUUGCCUCUUCGAUCGUUGAUGUUUGUGCUAGCCUUCUUAAGGCAUCCUUGUUUAACUAAUGUCUGUACUCAGAUAUUGUUGCUUCCGCUACUGCUUGUGUAUCGAGCUAUGUAUUCGAGCCUUCGAGGCCCCUGGCUUGUAAUAUAAAGCUUGUAUUAUUUCUAUUUGUGUCUAGAGUUGUGUUGUGAUAUCUUCCCGUGAGUCCCUGAUCUUGAUCAUACACAUUUGCGUGUAUGAUUAGUGUACGAUUGAAUCGGGGGCGUCACAGGUGAGGAUAGGUCAUUGUUGUAGUUUGUCGAUCGCUUUGAGUUUUUCUCUCUCGCGCUUAGGCAUAGUUUGGUCUUGUAUUACUUUGCUAUUUGCCGACUUGUUUUUUGGUGUUUGUGUGUGCGUAUGUUGUUUAUUGUGUGCAUUCUAACUAUGUAGAGUCAGAUGUGUUGAGUAUUGUGUCUAUAGCUACUUGACGCUUCAUUUGGAGUCAGUAAAUUCACCCUUUGUGAAAGGAAAAAACCCUGAUAUUUCCCGAGUGUGGUUAUCCCUUGCAAGAUUCGAGCUAAGCUACAGGAGUAUGCCACCAGAUUUGAGGCUAUGCUUUGCUUAUUAUUGUGCAGUCUUCCCAACUGGCCACAACAUAGUCAAAGAUGACCUGGUUCAUCAAUGGAUUGCUCUGCACCUCAUUGAGCCAUCUGAAACAUUGUCUGCCGCACAGAUAGCAGAGGAGCAUAUUACCAGGCUUCAGAACAUGUCAUUCCUUCAAACUGCAGAGCUGGACCACGUGAGUAAUUGUCUACUACUCUAUUGUACAAAAUCUGCUGACUUAUAAAGACAGAAAACUGAAGUAAAAUUUGAGUGAAUUGUAUCAUACUUGUUCCUACUGGAUGGAUUACUAAUGUGUGGAUAUAGUAGUAGGUAUGCCCGAGGGACAUGAUAUAGUGAAGCGAAAGAACAACAUACAUCUAGGAAACUAAGACAUAUAUAGGCUACUUACUAAUUUUUAAUUGGAAGAAGAGGAUCCAAUCGGCUGUCCGAUCACGCGCUGGAAUCGGCCGCCUUGGUCGAGCAACACGUGCCGCCCAAGUUGCUGGCUCCCUUCGACAUUAUCCUUUCCUGAGCCACCCCUCCACAAAGGGCCUCUUUGAUUCAAAUAAUUUCUAAAAUAAUUUUGUAGAAUUCUAAUCUUUG
rnacentral:lncRNA from 1 species